CACUGAAUAUUCUUUGCACUUUUAAAAUUCUUAUACCCUGUGUGUGAUUCACCCGUUUAAAAAAUAAAUAAAUAGAUACAGGGCUUACCCAUAGUCAGACCCAUAGUAAGUACUCAGUUAACUGUUACACCCAUUUUGCAGGUGUUUUCAUUCAACAGCUAUCUAUUGAGUUGCUACUGCAUACCAGGCACUGCACUAGAUGCUGAGGAAGCAGUCAUGAGCAAGAAAGACGAGGUCCCUGUGCUCACAGUGGCAGAGCAAGGCAUAAAAUAUGUCCAGAUGGUAAUGAGCGCUAAACUGCAAGGAAAAAGACACGCAAGAGACCAACUCACACAAUCAGUGGAAGCCCAAGAUGAAGAACUUGAGACUCAGAGAGGACAAGCAGCUUCCUCAAGAUCAUGCAGCUCUUGCUGGGGAAAACCUAGCUGAAGGCUCAUCUGUGUGACUCCAAGGCCCCUGCCCUGAUCCCUGGUUCAGGUCCAUGUUUCCAUGGUAUAUUCAUUUCCCAGGGCUGCUGAAACAAGGUACCAGCAUCCAGGUAACUCAGAACAAUAACACUUACUCUCUCAUGGUUCUGGAGGCCAGAAGUUGAAAUCAGGGUGUCAGCAGGGCCACGCUCCCUCCAGAGGCUCUAGGCUCUAGGGGAGAACACUUCCUUGCCUCCUCUAGCUGCUGGAAACUAUUGGUGAUCCCUGACUUGUGGUCUUGUGGCUGCAUCACUCUAAACUCAGCUUUAGUGGCCACAUCACCCAUUCCUCAUGUCUCAAGUCUCCUCUUUCUCUUAUAAAGACACUUGUCAUUGGAUUUAGGACCCACCUAGAUAAUCCAGGAUGAUGUCAUUUCAAGCUC